AGGACGAACGCUGGCGGCGUGCUUAACACAUGCAAGUCGAGCGGUGACCCUCCUUCGGGAGGUGAUCAGCGGCGAACGGGUGAGUAACACGUGGGCAACCUGCCCCUCACACUGGGAUAACCUCGGGAAACCGGGGCUAAUACCGGAUACGACCUCGAGCGGCAUCUCUUGAGGUGGAAAGCUCCGACGGUGAGGGAUGGGCCCGCGGCCUAUCAGCUUGUUGGUGGGGUAAUGGCCUACCAAGGCGACGACGGGUA
rnacentral:rRNA from 1 species